GAUGAAGAACGCAGCGAAAUGCGAUACGUAGUGUGAAUUGCAGAAUUCAGUGGAUCAUCGAAUCUUUGAACGCACAUUGCACCUCUCGGUAUUCCGGGAGGUAUGCCUGUUCGAGCGUCAUUUGUACCCUCAAGCUCUGCUUGGUGUUGGGUGUUUGUUCCGCCUCUGUGUGUGAACUCGCCUCAAAACAAUUGGCAGCCGGCGUACUUGUUUCGGAGCGCAGCACAUUUUGCGAUCCAGAUCAACGUACAGCGGCAUCCAAGAAGCCUUAUUUAACGCUCUUGACCUCGGAUCAGGUAGGGAUACCCGCUGAACUUAAGCAUAUCAAUAAGCGGAGGA
rnacentral:misc_RNA from 1 species